rnacentral:rRNA from 1 species
GAUGAACGCUGGCGGCGUGCUUAACACAUGCAAGUCGAACGAAGCGCUUUGGACUGAUUCUUCGGAUGAAGUCCCUGGUGACUGAGUGGCGGACGGGUGAGUAACGCGUGGGUAACCUGCCUCAUACAGGGGAUAACAGUUAGAAAUGGUUGCUAAUACCGCAUAAGCGCACGGUACUGCAUGGUACAGUGCGAAAAACUCCGGUGGUAUGAGAUGGACCCGCGUUGAUAG